rnacentral:rRNA from 1 species
CAGCAGCCGCGGUAAUUCCGGCGGCCCGAGUGGCGGUCACUAUUAUUGGGCUUAAAGCGUCCGUAGCCGGGUUGGGAAGUCCUCCGGGAAAUCUGGCCGCUUAACGGUCAGAAUGCCGGAGGAUACUCCCAGCCUAGGGAGCGGGAGAGGCCGAGGGUAUUCCCGGAGUAGGGGGGAAAUCCUAUAAUCCCGGGAGGACCACCUGUGGCGAAGGCGCUCGGCGGGAACGCGUCCGACGGUGAGGGACGAAGGCCAGGGGAGCAAACCGGAUUAGAUACCCGGGUAGUCCUGGCUGUAAACGAUGCGGACUUUGUGUCGGACAAGCUAUGAGCUUGUCCGGUGCCGGAGGGAAACCGUUAAGUCCGCCGCCUGGGGAGUACGGCCGCAAGGCUGAAACUUAAAGGAAUUGGCGGG